UAAUCUCAUACUCUUGUGCAACAUGAAAGGCCAGAGACAGUCUUACCCCUGCGGGUCAGAGCUGGAAGCUUCACUUCUCGGAGACUGCACAGGGUCAGAAGAUGGUCCAUCCUGGUCAUCGUGUGUCCCUGCCUCCAGGCGACGUCCUGGGCGAACUACAAACACCACUUCCGGUGUAGAAAGAUGUCGUCAUCAAACUGCGUGUGAUCACAUGCAUUCCCGUCUACCAGUGGCUCCACUUCCAGCAACCUCUCCUCCUCCUUCCACCUCUCGGACGGAGACUCAAGCCUGAGUAUCACCCCGCCUUCACUUGCAGUAACCUUGUUAAAACCACAACAUAUCACCAUCGGGACACGGCCUCAUCAGGACUGGCCCCUGAGUCACAACCAUCAAACUCCUGAGCCGUGCUCACGAACACCGCGUAGUCAGCUCCGUCCCUCUGGAGGAAGACGAAGCAGGGUAUCAUUGAGUCUGUGGCAAAUGCACCGAUGCAUUUACAAGAAAAUGACUCACAUCAAUGCGGCGCCACUGUGGGAGGCAAUCAGUCUGCACAUUUAAGUGAAUUUUGAGUUUGGGGUGCUGAGAGAAAGUAAAUCUAUACAGACUAAUGAAGUCAUACUGCAGAGUGGCACAAGACACAUCACACAUUAAGUGCUAAACAUACUGAUAAUAUGCAGAUUAAAAAUAAGGUAAGGGCUCUUUCCUGCCACAAAUAGCACUGUAAUACAGGUGGCCAUCCCAGAAUAAAAAAAAAAGAUUUGAAACAAUAUAAACUGAAUUGCAUGGGGAUCGAUCGAUGUGGACCGACUGCUGAAUUAAUUUUCAACAGAAUU